rnacentral:rRNA from 1 species
GAUGAACGCUGGCGGCGUGCCUAAUACAUGCAAGUCGAGCGAACGGACGAGAAGCUUGCUUCUCUGAUGUUAGCGGCGGACGGGUGAGUAACACGUGGAUAACCUACCUAUAAGACUGGGAUAACUUCGGGAAACCGGAGCUAAUACCGGAUAAUAUUUUGAACCGCAUGGUUCAAAAGUGAAAGACGGUCUUGCUGUCACUUAUAGAUGGAUCCGCGCUGCAUUAGCUAGUUGUUAAGGUAACGGCUUACCAAGGCAACGAUGCAUAGCCGACCUGAGAGGGUGAUCGGCCACACUGGAACUGAGACACGGUCCAGACUCCUACGGGAGGCAGCAGUAGGGAAUCUUCCGCAAUGGGCGAAAGCCUGACGGAGCAACGCCGCGUGAGUGAUGAAGGUCCUCGGAUCGUAAAACUCUGUUAUUAGGGAAGAACAUAUGUGUAAGUAACUGUGCACAUCUUGACGGUACCUAAUCAGAAAGCCACGGCUAACUACAUG